GACUUGUUAGCUCAGCUGGCAGAGCAACUGACUCUUAAUCAGUGGGUCCAGGGUUCGAUUCCCUGACAGGUCA
rnacentral:tRNA from 1 species